CCCAAGUAAUGGCGGUGCAAACGAGGGGCUCCCUGCCGUCUGGUGCAUUGCAGGGAGGUGUGGUCCCACGGCCCCAUCCUGGCUCUUGCCAGCCUUCUCCCUUUUGACUCGUCGUUUCUGCUCCUUCCCUCCAUUGGUUUCACAUCGCGUGUGCCACUGCACCCCCUCUCCCGGUGUGGUUUCCGCGUGGGGAUUAACCUCUGGCCCGCCCCUCAGCCCGCGUGGAGGUGAUUGCUCUGGCUGGGCCUGCUGCUGCCCCACCCCCCAAUCCCGUUCCACUCCCGUGCUUGGUUUUUCUCCUUCUUCGAGUAGACUCCGAUCAACUUCUGCGAGGAAGGAACGAGAGACUUCGACUGCAAGUCAAGUAGAUUGGACUCAGUGGAAACUAUCUUACCUUAUGAAUAUAACAGCAAAUGAAGACUGAAUGAAAUGGCUGAAUUUUCUCAAGAGAAGAAUGCAAACGAAGCAUCAACAGCACGGGGCUACUACAGCAAGGUAACACAAACCAGGUGGCUUAAAACAGCAGACAUUAAAUUGGAUCACCGUUCUGGAGGCUGUAAGUCUGAGAUCAAGGCGUCAGUGACUGCAGCUUUUCUGAAGACUCCGAGGGAGAAUCUGUUCCAGGCCGAUCUUUGAGCUGCUGGCUAUAAACAUUCAGAUGGAAGCCAUCUAGCUUGUACUAGACUUGCUGUGCCUAUUCCUGCAAAGGAUACAGAAAAACUCAAUGUAACUGACUCACACUCUGGAAUUUGAGAACCACUGGAUAUUUCUUCUUCCUGCUUCUGUUUUAUCACCAAAAUCUACAGCCUGGUGAAACGGGACUAUAGAAUUUCUGCAAAGACUUCAUGAUGCAUCAAACUUUAUUUUUGAAUAGCUGUUCCUAUAAGAACAUCUACAGAGAUAAAUAUGUAUGCUUCCAGUACCAUGAUUUUAAAAUAUACAUCAUUUUAAAAUCCUAUUGUCUGACCUCCGUUUGUAAGACACAAAAUUGUGAUAGACUGUAUGGACGACUGGGUUGGGAAACAGGUUUAUUUUAGGUCCUAUUAUUCCUGACAAGAUAGCAUAAAAAUGCCUCAUUUAAAGCAAUUAGAAUAAAGGAGGCCAAUUUGUUUAAAAAAAAAUAAAGUUGAGUGCACUAUUUUUCCUGA